GAUCCUGGCUCAGGAUGAACGCUAGCUACAGGCUUAACACAUGCAAGUCGCGGGGUAACAUUUGACAGAGCUUGCUCAGUCAAGAUGACGACCGGCGCACGGGUGAGUAACGCGUAUCCAACCUGGCCCAUACCACGGGACAGCCCGUCGAAAGGCGGAUUAAUACCGUAUGCAGUCAUAGACAAGCAUUUGAAUAUGACGAAAGGAUUCGGCGGUAUGGGAUGGGGAUGCG
rnacentral:rRNA from 1 species